CUUUCUUUUAGACUGAAGAGCUAAUCCUCCUCUGGGGUAGAAGCAUGAAUUCAGCUUUUGACAGGCAAAAAUUUCAUUUCCUUCAGUUUCAGUUUUGGUGACUAACUUCUACUCUACAGUUUUUUCUCAAGGAUUAAUGAAAAGACUAAAUCAAGAUGUGGACACAGGAUCAGGGACUGGGUAGAUACUCUUGACUGUUGCAUUCCAGAACUUGGGAAGGAAGGAGCACCUGGGUGAUGUUUACAAAGUUCUGAAGCAAAGUAUGGUGGCAGACUGGAAACUGAGCCUUGAAAGCUAAGUCACAUACCCCAAAUCUACACCAGUAAAACCAAAACUGAAGCGAGUCUGUCUCCAGUGCUCCUGCUCUUCACCGCUGCGUGAACAGAGUAAAACCAGACAGAAAUUCCACUCUGGUUGCCAAGUGACUGACGCAAAACAAUUGCUACAAAAGGAGGACACGCUCAUUGUGGUGAAGAACAGCAAUCCACAGAGGAACCAGGAUAGACGCGGAGAGGCCACUGGCGAGCUGCAUGGUUUUCAUGGUCGGAAGUGGCAGUGGCUCAG